AGGGCCAGGCGGGGCCUGAGGAUCCUCUCCCCCGCCUCAAGAAUGGGGGCCCCCCAGGGGUACGGGCCGGGGAGCCCUAAAGUCUCUGGGUUUUGCUGUUUCUCAUCUGGAAGAUGGGGGGAAGAAACUCGAGCUCGAAAUAGGAAAUUGCUUGAUAAGAGGACCCCGCCCCAGGCCCUAGUAGCUUCCCCGGGGCGGGGAGACCCAGCCGGACUAGGACACGGACACGCCCAGCCCUAGAGGGGUCUGGGCCGGGCUAAGGGAGGGAUGUCGCAGUAAACAGGUCUUGGAUGGGGCGGGAGACGCAUUCCAGACGGAGGGAAGGGAGCAGGCAAAGGCCUGGAGGCGGGACGGGACCUCCCACCUGGCCAGGCGGCUGGCCCCGCCCACGACUCCCCCAGUCGGUCUCUCUAACCUGGCUCUCCUCUUACUUGGGGUGGGAGAGAAAAAGGAUCUCAGGAAUCUCAGCGCAGCGUGCAGCAGCGGAAGAGUUAACCGCGCGCGGCGGCGGGACAGAGUGCGCGCAAAAACGCCCACAAAAGCGCUGACCUGCUCUGAACUGUGUCCCAGUUAGUUGCCACAUCUGCGUGGGCCUCAGUUUCCCCAACCAGACAAUGGGGAGAGAGUUGACAUUCACGGCGGGGGUAGGAUGGGAAGGGAUUUCCACCUGCAGGGGCGGGGUGGGGCGGGAGCGCGGACCGGGAACCGGGAGCCCAGACAUCUGAGUGAAGGACCCUGCGAGAAGGGAUUCGAAUUCCCGCUGGCCCCGGCCUCCCUCAUCCCUUCCCCCCGCCUCUCCUUCUCCUUCCUCCUCCCCCUCUCGUUCCACCCGGCCACUUCUCCCCAACUCCUCUCUCCCCCUUUUCUUUUCCAUCCCCCCCGCUUGCCCAGCUCCGCCGCCCUGCGGGGCCGCUAAUUAAAUACAGGGCUGGAGGGGGAGGGUCACGGCACGCAGUUAACCCCUUCCCAGCCGGGUUCCGGAAGCCUGCCUGGAGCAGGGGAGGGGAUGAUUGUCUGCUGAUGAACCCACCUCCGCCCAGGACUUGAGGCCCUAGGACAAGCCCAUUUGAUGAAUAGGUAGACUGAGGCCAAGGGGCCUGUUCCAAGGUCUGAGCAAGGCCGGAUUAAUCAGGGCCUCCUGAUACGAGGGCGGAGGCAUAGAAAUAACUGGAAUGAAUGGAGAGAUAGCAACUGUGAGAUAAACGAUAGAAAGGCAGGGAUGGAAAGAGGGAUAGCAUGAGAGGGAAGAAAGAAAAGUCUAGUGGAGCCAGAGAGAAAGGAGAGAGGAGGAGAGACAGCUGGGGCAGCCUGGAGACAGGAAGAGACAUUUAUCAAUCCAUGCUUUUCACUGUGAUCCAUACCCUUCAGCUGAGGACUGGAACCAUCUUCAGUCUCAGAAUAAAGAGGUAACCCUAUAAAUCUCUACAGUGAGGAUGGAGUGACUGUCUCCCAGGGCUACACAAUUGGGGCUGGUGGGGACAUGGUGGCCCCAGGGACAAUCAGUAUGUAUGUCAAUAGGGGACUCAUAGGCCACCCCAACCUGGUCUGGAGGCCCUAGAGCAGCCUCCCUGGCAUACGUUGCCCUCUGCCCACUGCCCUCUGACCGGCCUAAACUGAGGGCCAACCUGCCCAGGGAGCUGAAGAUCAACCCGAGCCCAUAUCCUGUCCUUGCAACUCUGGGUCACGUAGAGAGGAUCCAGACACCGGCCUUUCUCUGCUUAGUUCUCCCUUUGCUCUGCACACAAGCUUGGUAAACUGAGGCUCUGAGAGGGGCCCACAUUCUUGGGGUGGUAACAACUGGAAAAAUACGUAAUAUAUAACGUCAGGCAGUGGCAAGAGCUAUGAAGAACUCUUGGGGUUCAGAGGGCCUGUGACACCUUCAGACAAAGGGAGUGCUGUGAGCAUAUCUCCGGGAAGAGUGUUCCUGAAAACUGGAAUAGCACGUGCAAAGGCCCGGAGGUAGGAAUGUAUAGCAUGUUGGAGAAUUAAGGAGGAGGCCUGGGAGUGUGAUGAGAAGAGGGGAGAUGGGAGGAAGAUAAGGGUGGAGGGGAUCACAGGGGCACCCCGGUCAUCAGCAGCUGGGGUGGCAGGUAGUUAGAGUCCUCACCAGCCUUGGUGAAGCCUGUGACUAUCCUUACAUCAGUUACUCCACCAGGGCCUACGGUCCAGAGAAGGCAGGGGAGGCUCAAGGGGCAUAGGGGCUGUCCAGGGUCAUAGGAACCCAUGUUCCUUCUGAGUGCCACCCUGGCCUCUCCACACCCACUGUGGCUCCUUCCUUUGGCCCAUCUUCCUGUGACUCCCUAGCUCUGCCUACUUUCUGCCAUCCAGCUGCCAGCUCUUGCCCAUGAUAUUUCCUCACCUGCGGUGCCCACUGGAUGAGACAGUCCCCAUCCCCUCCCGGGCAGAGCCUGAAAACCCUAAAGGGAGGGGAUGGCUCAAGAAACAAAAGGGCUGAGAGGAAUACAGGAAGGUGAGCAUUGUGGUCCUCGAGUGCUGUCCUCAGUCUGGGUAAAAAUAGAUGCCCCCCCCUCUGCCUCUGGCCCCUGCCCCCUGUGAGGAGGCGGUGGUGAAGUGGCUGCUAUGACGAGGGAUGUGCUCGGAGGAGCAUCCGGCAGAGCCUGCGUUGCCAUGGCAAUGAUGACUCAGAGGCAGAGGCAGGUAGUAGCAUCUGGUACCCCGCAGGCCUGCCCCUGUGCUCACAGCACUCCCCAGCCCCCACCCUGUAGCCUUCACUCUGGGGGGCGGCUUCUGAGACUGGAGAGGGAUAAGCAAGAUCUUUGGGGCAGCUGGAUUAAUUCCUGCACCUGCUGGAAGGUGUGAGAUGUUGAGGCCCCUCUCCCUUCUCCCAGUCUCUCACUCUCUCCAUCUCAGAGUACAGCCCAGACAGACCCUUCCCCACACCCCCCAGGACCUGCAGCUGCUGUCUAACCCCCAUCCUCUCUCCCCCAGGUGUCCUUCUCCAGCCAUACCAGCCUGUGCUUUUCCUUCAACACGCCAGCUCAUUCCUACCUCAGGUCCUUUGCAUGUGCUGGUCUUCCUGCCUGGAAGACUCUGAGGGUCUUCUGGCAUUCUUGGUUUCCUUAUGAUCUGUCUCUACCUCCAUCUCCAGAGUAUAAAGACCUACGAGAUGGCCUGUGGUUCCUCCAGAGGCCUGUCUGCCUAUCUCUGCUUUUCAUUUACCCCACUGGGAAAUGGGCAUGGUGAUCACAGUACUAACUCAUUGAAGGGGGUUGGGGGUGGAGAUUAAGUGUUUAGAAUUGUGCCUAGCAGGGAGUAAACACUUCUUUAAAAACAAUCCAAAGUCUGCGAGCUGAUGAAGGAUAAACACAAUGUGGUCCAUCCACACAGUAGAAUAUUAGUCAUGAAAAAGUGAAGCACUAUACAUACAACAUGAAUGAACCUUGGAAACAUGAUGUUGAGUGAGAGAAACCAGACACAAAAGGCCACAUGUUGCAUGAUUCCAUUUAUGUGAAAUGUCCAGAACAAGUAAAUCCAUAGAGACAGGAAACACAUGGUUGCCAGGGGCUGGGGGAGGUGGGAAUGGGUAUGGGGUUUAUUUUUGAGGUAAUGAAAAUGCUCUAGAACCAGAUAGAGGUGGUAAGUUGUACAAUAUUUUGAAGGACACGAAAUGCCAUGAACUGUUCAUUGAAAAAUAGUUAAUUUUAUGUUAGUGAAUCUUAUCUCCAGAAUAAUAAUAAAAAGGACAUUGGGUAAAAACAAA